GAUGAACGCUGGCGGCGUGCCUAACACAUGCAAGUCGAGCGGAGAUAAGAAGAGUACUUGUACAAUUUUUAUUUCAGCGGCGGACGGGUGAGUAACACGUGAGUAACCUGCCUUUCACUGGGGAAUAACAUCGAGAAAUCGGUGCUAAUACCGCAUAACGUCACGAGACCGCAUGGUUUUGUGACCAAAGGAGUAAUCCGGUGAAAGAUGGACUCGCGUCCGAUUAGUUAGUUGGUGAGGUAAUGGCCCACCAAGACAGCGAUCGGUAGCCGAACUGAGAGGUUGAUCGGCCACAUUGGGACUGAGACACGGCCCAGACUCCUACGGGAGGCAGCAGUGGGGAAUAUUGGGCAAUGGGCGAAAGCCUGACCCAGCAACGCCGCGUGAAGGAAGAAGGUCUCGGAUUGUAAACUUCUUUGAUCAGGGACGAAAAAAUGACGGUACCUGAAGAACAAGCCACGGCUAACUACGUG
rnacentral:rRNA from 1 species